rnacentral:rRNA from 1 species
UACGAAGGGGGCUAGCGUUGCUCGGAAUUACUGGGCGUAAAGGGCGCGUAGGCGGCACUGUUAGUCAGGCGUGAAAUUCCUGGGCUCAACCUGGGGACUGCGCUUGAUACGGCAGAGCUAGAGGAUGGAAGAGGCUCGCGGAAUUCCCAGUGUAGAGGUGAAAUUCGUAGAUAUUGGGAAGAACACCGGUGGCGAAGGCGGCGAGCUGGUCCAUUACUGACGCUGAGGCGCGACAGCGGUGGGGAGCAAACAGGAUUAGAAACUCGUGGUAGUCC